UGAAUCAACCUACUCUUCCCACAGAGCUCCCCUGGCUUCUAGAAAAGGCCCCAGCCAAGGAGCCUCUCAGGAGAGCAGAGUGAGGGUGUGUGUGUGUGUGUGUGUGUGUGUGUGUGUGUGUGCCAGGGAGGGACAGACCCCAGCAUGACACAGACAGAGAAGAAUCUGUGUGAGAGCGAAUGAGACUGUUGGUCUCGAUUUUCCUUCUCCUCCUCCUCUGCUCUCUGCCCAGUGACUGUCACAGGGCCCGCCUUACAGUACCUGCUCAGGACAUGUUUACUGAGCAAAUGAAUAAACUAGGGCCUGACAUUCUAGCACGCAGAGGUAUAUUAGGCCCAGCCAAGAAUCGUGUUAGGGGUUCAGGACCCCCUGCCCCAUUUUCCCUCCAGGGUCUAACCGGUGAGGCUUGUACACAUGGGCCAUGGUUCCAAGAAGGCCAAGUCUUAGCACAUCCCAGGCCAGCUGAGCACCUGGCACCCUGGGGAGCAGGGAGCGGGGCCCCCACACCCGAGCACAAGAAGUAAGAGGCAGGGGUCACUGGCGAGCGCCACGGCUCAGGGAGGCUCUGCCCUGCCCAGGCGGGAUCCAGCCCAGGACGGCGGGCUCGCCACUUACAUCAGCAGCGUGUCGGAAGCCCCCUCCCCAGCUCGCUCCUGGCGCGGGGCAGGAGAGGCCCCCCACUCCCCACGAGCAGGUGGGGAAGGGAGAGGAGGGGAGAAGUUCCUUCUCCUGCAGCUUCGCCUCUGAAACCCGAGUCCGUCUCCCUCCACUGGGACCACUGCUGUUUUAGGAGAAAUGAGAACAACUGGACGAGUGUCUGCUGGUCACCUGGCUGAGGUGGGCUAAUGACAAUAACCAAGGGCUCUUUACAGUUGACAAGCCACUUCCAUGUCCAGGGUCGCACAGGGGUGCCCCGUCAACCAGUGGAGCAGGUGUCUCAUUCCUGUCUUACAGGUGGGGUCGCAUUUCUCCAGGAAGACUGCGGGAAUUUGCUCUGCACAGCCGGCAGCCCGGGGCUGAAGGCAGGCUGCCGCCCACAGCUGGGGAAUGACAGUGGUGCCUGGACGGCCUUCUGCUCUCACCGCACUUCCAGAAGCUGACGUCUAGAAGGGAGCUCCUGCCUUGAGCAAAGCAGAGUGCGAGGCGCUUGGCGGAGGGAGCAAGCCUGACCUCGGCGAAGGGCGAGGCCAGGGGAGACGCAGGGUGGCGGGGCUGGCUGGGUGGUAAGCACGGGAUCAAACAGAAGAAAAGUCUCCUGCGAGCCCCCCGACAAGCCACCCCCGAGUCCUGGGGAGGCGCGGGCUGAGAAUCUCCCGCGGACGCCGAAAUGGAGUCGCAGGUGAGGAGAAGUCAGCUCGGGGCUCGGGUGUGCCUUAGAGGGCUGAGUUCAAUUAAAACCCUAUUGAUUUUCCCUGUUGAUUAACACGCCCGGCACGUGAGGACGUCCCUCCGCCUCAUCCCGCGUCACCGCUGAGUCUGGGCAAUUUUAUAAUUGGCCCGAGGGGUUCUGAUUUGAAACCAGAAAAGCCAGUUAGCAGGAGUCUCCUUUGACCUUCGGCUUGGGGUGGUAGGGGACGAGGUAAUGACUUGAGACAGAGGGAAGGAAAAAAAACAAAACUAACCUAAAAAUAAAAACAAAAUAUCAAGAGCAGAGACUUACAUCUUCUUGGCUCCCUGAUUAAUAACCCCGUCACGCCGGUCACAAGCGCUAAACAGCGAUGCUGGUUGCAGCUGAAUUUUUUAUACUUUCUAUUAAUCUUUAAUGAUAGCCUGGCCACCUACUCUCUUUUAUCUUGUCAGAUAAAUGUAUGGUUAACAGGAUAAUGAGAUUUCUAAAGCCCCAUUCCAGCUCCCAGCUACCUCGUGCACGCGGUGACCUCUGACCCCCGGCAGACAGCGGCACCAGGGUGCUUGUAAUUGGUGGGUGUGCUGGGAAUGUACUGGAAGCUGACGGAUGGCUUAAACUUUGAUUCGAGGUCAGCGAGGUCACAGAGCUCUGGAAGACCGGCCCGGUUUUAUUACCAGCUGCCUCUGAUGGGGAUAUAAUUAGAUUUAGCUAUUGCUUUAUUAACAAGUGCUCGCUUCCCCAUGGCGGUGGGUGGGCAAAUGUAUUCCUUGGAUAAUUUGAGGACACGAGUCUGGCUUUAUUAGUAAGAAUAUAUCAUCUAUAUUUGACCAGGCGCCGGCACUCAUCUGGCUUGCUGGACUUUGGGGGAACUUUGUCACUUUUACUCAUUUGCAGUAUCGAGUAAAUCGGCUGUGCCCUGUGAAAUCUAGCUUCGCCUUGAACUCUGUCAUGUAGGGAACCUCCCUCUCGGCCUGUUUCUCAAUGACCGAAGAAUAAAAAAUAUAUAAAUAAUUUUAUCCACCUGUCCAUCCGUAUGUUCAUCCACCCGUUCCUCCAUCCAUCCAUCCAUCCAUCCAUCACCUCUUCAUCUACCCAAUCAUGUGAGUUCUUGCUAAAUGUUAGGUGCAGCCCUAGGAGAAGGGGAGGGGGUCCACAAAGAGUUAAAGACUUAAUCCCUUUCGUAAGAGGUUUACAAGCAGACAAAUAACUAACUUUCAAAGAAGGACGAGUUAAAAGCCAUGAGGAAAUACUAACAAAAUGCUAGACGGUGCUUGGAAAGUGUGGAGCGUUGGACCUGAACAUUAAAAGCAUUCAUACUCUGGU